rnacentral:pre_miRNA from 1 species
UAUCUGAAUUCAUCACCAGAUCUCUGUCGAUAUGUCUAUCAUAGAACUGGGCUGAAUUCAGAUGA